rnacentral:lncRNA from 1 species
UAAUUAAAAAUAUGCAGUUACGGUAGUUAUAUAUAGUUGCUAUCCCCAUCGUAUCUAUCCAUUUAAUUAUUUUUAAUCAUUAAAUCAUACUAUUCAAUUAAUUACUAUUUAAUCCGAGGAGAUCACUAUCACCGAAACCGUAUAUUCUUUCAUUAAAGGGCCAAAAGUCUAAUAGACUCAAUAACUUAGAACUAUUAAUAAUAUAAUAAUCUAUAUAUAUAUAUAUAAUUGAGCUCAUAUACUUUUAAAAGUACCAAGUUAUUAGUGUUUGUAGAUUUUUAGCCAUUGGAUUAAGAGAUAUGCGGUUAGGAUGAUGUGGACCCCUUAGGGUUGAGUGGGUGGUUGGUUGAAUAGUAUAAUCUAAUAGUUGAAAAUGAUCCAAGAAAUAGAUCUAACGGUAAAAAACUUACAAGCACUAAGUGCUUGGUGCUUUUACAAGCACCAUAGCUGGACUAUAUAUAUAUAUAUAUAUAUAUAUAU